UGGGGAAUUUUGCGCAAUGGGGGAAACCCUGACGCAGCAACGCCGCGUGAGUGAUGAAGGCCUUCGGGUCGUAAAGCUCUGUCAGAGGGGAAGAAAUGCAGGGGUGCUAAUAUCAUCUUUGCUUGACGGUACCCUCAAAGGAAGCACCGGCUAACUCCGUGCCAGCAGCCGCGGUAAUACGGAGGGUGCGAGCGUUGUUCGGAAUUAUUGGGCGUAAAGCGCGUGUAGGCGGUUUGGUAAGUCUGAUGUGAAAGCCCUGGGCUCAACCUGGGAAGUGCAUUGGAAACUGUCAGACUUGAAUACGGGAGAGGGUAGUGGAAUUCCUAGUGUAGGAGUGAAAUCCGUAGAUAUUAGGAGGAGCACCGGUGGCGAAGGCGGCUACCUGGACCGAUAUUGACGCUGAGACGCGAAAGCGUGGGGAGCAAACAGG
rnacentral:rRNA from 1 species